rnacentral:tRNA from 1 species
AGCGGAAUGGCCUAGUGGCUAGAGCAUGGGCUUGGAAAUCAGGAGGAUCUGGGUUCUAAUCCCAGCUCUGCCA